UACUUUCAGAUGUGUCAUCUCCAGAGCGUCUCAGCAGGUGGCCUCCAGGUCCUUUUCCAGUUCCAACAUUUGCAUUUGAUGUAGAACUGAAACUUAGAGAUGGAAAUGCAGAAUAUGAGAAGAACAACACACACCUUAAGCUGACAAGAGACCUAAAGCACGACAUUUUAGACAAGCUUGCAUCUAUUCUGUAUGGUUUUAAGGCUUACCCAGGCGAUAAAGAGAUCGCAAUGGUUGCUGAGGCUCUUGUAGCCAAACAUCCCUGCUUGAAGGAAGCGGGAUCUGAGACUGGCUGGAAUGGAUGGAAAUACAGCAUCAAGUUUAAGAUGGGCAAUUAUAGGAACAAGAUGAGGCGGGCUGGAUGCCAAGAGGUCACUGUAAAUUCUGGAAAAAGAAGUAGCACUAAUCCCGAAAAUGAACCUUCACAUUCCAACAUUAAAAGACCCAAGCGAGCGGAUGUCAACUUCCUACCUAACUUUGCCCAAGGAAAGGAUCCUUCAAGCCUUGAGCAGUUGAGGCAGACAAUUGUUGAAGAAGUCAAGAAGACUGAGAAGAACCUGCCCCUCAUUAGAAAGAUGAUGGAGACCACAUUUCCCCUACGCCGACAGACCAUAAUGAUGUCCUCCCCACCAGUCAACGAGCUUAUGGACCUCUGGCCUGCUCUCAAAAUAGAGUCUGAGUUGUAUGAAGAGUUCCAGCGGAUUACGAAUCAGAACCUGCCCAACACUUUCUAUGCUGAGCUUGAUCACCAUCUUCCUCGACUGAUGACCUUAUUCAGACAGAAGGCAUAAAAAACUGGGAAGACAGCAGAUGCUCUGGCUGAAAUUUAAAAAAUCCACGAUGAACAGGAAAUCCAUGACAUCCACACCAAGCGCACUACAGUUCUCCACUGCCUUCCUGUAUAUCUGCGCGAGGACGUUUCUGGAUUUUUCAGAACCUGCACAGACGAGUCUGAGCCAGAGCUUGAAAGUGUUGCAGUGGGCCGCCUUACCGUCAUCAGUGACCAUGCCACAGUCCAAAGUCCAGUUCACUACCAGCCUGUGAGAAUCUCUGUCAUCAUUGAAAGUUAUGCCAUGGUCGGCCUCCCCAGACUAGGCGACGCCUUCCUGGUAAUCUUUGGACUGAUAUAUGCACUACACCUCAGCUAUCCGAAAGCACUGACCAACACUUUUGAAUUCAUUCAAAAGAUUUUACUUGGUCUAGAUGGUGGUAAACUGUCACCCAGGUUGCAGACCCUCAAGAAUGACUUGAUGUAGAAAUUCAUCUG